GCUUUAUUGUGCUCAGCUGGUAGUAGCGUGGGGCUGUUAACCUCAAGGUCACUGGUUCGAUCCCAGUAUCGAGCG
rnacentral:tRNA from 1 species